GAUGAACGCUGGCGGCGCGCGUAACACAUGCAAGUCGAACGGCACCUAUCUUCGGAUAGAAGCGAGUGGCGAACGGCUGAGUAACACGUGGAGAACCUGCCCCCUCCCCCGGGAUAGCCGCCCGAAAGGACGGGUAAUACCGGAUACCCCCGGGCGCCGCAUGGCGCCCGGGCUAAAGCCCCGACGGGAGGGGAUGGCUCCGCGGCCCAUCAGGUAGACGGCGGGGUGACGGCCCACCGUGCCGACAACGGGUAGCCGGGUUGAGAGACCGACCGGCCAGAUUGGGACUGAGACACGGCCCAGACUCCUACGGGAGGCAGCAGUGGGGAAUCUUGCGCAAUGGGGGGAACCCUGACGCAGCGACGCCGCGUGCGGGACGGAGGCCUUCGGGUCGUAAACCGCUUUCAGCAGGGAAGAGUCAAGACUGUACCUGCAGAAGAAG
rnacentral:rRNA from 1 species